UUACUGGAGAGAAGCAUCCCUCUCAGAGUGACAGUGCUUUGGGGUGUCAUCAGGCAUCAGAGGAAGUUUCAGAAACCCAAGGAGAAAGCAAAAGGCCAGUCCUUGAGGGAAGAGAAUUGUCUCUCAGAGAUCUCCUGAAUUGGUGUAAUAGAAUUGCCCAUAGCUUUGACAGUUCAUCAUCUUCAGCAUCGUUACAUAUUUUUCAGGAGGCUCUGGACUGUUUCAUAGCAAUGCUUUUUGAUUGUACAAGCAAACUGAAAAUGGCAGAAAUUAUUGGAAGCAAAUUGAACAUUUCUAAGAAAAAGG